rnacentral:misc_RNA from 1 species
ACACCUCAACUCUCAUGGCUUGCCAUGAUGAGCUUGGACUUUGGGGGUUUUGCUGGCCUGUGGUCGGCUCCCCUUAAAUGAAUCAGCUUUCCAGUGUUUGGUGGCGCCACAGGUGUGAUAACUAUCUACGCUUGUGGCCGUCUGCCAGGUAACCUUCCACAAUGGGGGGUUUGCUGGAGCUCACAAAUGUCUCUCCUCAGCGAAGACAACUUUUUGAAA